rnacentral:rRNA from 1 species
UACGUAGGGUGCAAGCGUUGUCCGGAAUUAUUGGGCGUAAAGAGCUCGUAGGCGGUUUGUCGCGUCUGCUGUGAAAUCCCAGGGCUUAACCCUGGGCCUGCAGUGGGUACGGGCAAACUAGAGUGCGGUAGGGGAGAUCGGAAUUCCUGGUGUAGCGGUGAAAUGCGCAGAUAUCAGGAGGAACACCGGUGGCGAAGGCGGAUCUCUGGGCCAUAACUGACGCUGAGGAGCGAAAGCGUGGGGAGCGAACAGG